GGACUGCUCGGGGUUAGGCUGGGCAUCGGUCAGUGAGUGGAGCAACUCCAGUUGAAAGCAUCGAGACCAUUCAUCCGAGCAAACUAGGAGACAAAUUGAUGCAUAACUGGAUGGAUGGAAGAACAAAGGAAACGUUCUGUUUUAAGCAAAAGAUGUUCUCUUCAGUAUGUUUUCACUAACAGGACAACAUUGUUCUCUUUGGCCUAAGAGAGUUCAGUUUUAAACCCACAUAUGCACGGAGAGAAACAUUUAAGAUAGAACACCUGAGAUCAAGCCUGGCUGACCUCCUUCAUCCAACUCCAUUUGACAAAAAGCUGUAUGCUUGACAUUAACUUGCUGCCUCUUGUUGUAUAAGACAUUGAUUAAUGAUGUCAUCCUCUCAAAGAAAUACCCAAGACCAGCCCAUUAAUCUAAUUACUUAUGUAAUUAAUUAUGUAAUGAAGUCAAAUAAAAUACAUGAAAUUGUUACCAUAUCCUAUGCAAUAAAUAUAUUUAUUAUCUAUUGUAUUAUAGACAAAUUCUAUUAAAAUGUGAAUUUACUGUAAAGGAUUAUAAUGUUUUGAAUAUAUUAAAAAUAUAAAUAGGCUUAUACCAUUAGGGAAAAAAAUGGUAAGUUUCUGCUAGCCAACGUGACCCACAGUCCAGUUCCCACUGUUACAUGUGCUCAAAUUUAAGUGCAGGACUGUAUCAACUGAAGAUUUUUUAACACUUUGAGUCCCUUACUACACAUCCUAUCAUUUUCAUACAAGAGAUAUUUGUGCUAUCUUAACAUUAUCAAUAGUUAAUAUUUCAUAACAUAUGAAAAUUUAUUUUAAAAACCUACAUCUUUCUAGUUCCACUAGACAAGCUUACAAAAAGGUAUGAGUCCAACUAACAGUCCAAAAUCUGUAUCUAUACUGCCCUUAUUCCUUCUUUAUAUACAAGACAAAAUGGAUGCUAUAAUUUGGUUCUAUUUUUUUGAUAGGGACAAUAGAUAAACAACUGAAAUGUAUGAGGUGUAACAUUGCACAUCUGCUGCCUGGACAGAUAAUAGUUUUGCCAUGAUCAUUUCUGAACAGAUAACAUACUGAGAACUCUUUGCUACAAUCCCUGGAAGUCUUUAAAAGACGUUUAGAUGUGGAGCUUAGGGAUAUGGUUUAGUGGGGACUGUUAGCGUUAGGUCAGAGGUUGGACUCGAUGAUCUUGAGGUCUCUUCCAACCUAGAAAUUCUGUGAUUCUGUGAUCUACUUGGUGGCAUGGAUUUCUGCUCACAGAAAAUCUCUGGUAUUUUCUGUUGGGUUCAGACACUUCUAACCUACAGCUGUUCUUCAAAGCACACACACACACAUCCCCCUCGUGGUUAACUUGGGACCAGCAGCUGAUACCACAUCACAAGGCAAAGCAGGACUUGUAGCUGCUAGAAAUAAUUAAAAGCUAAUUUUCAGAAGCUCUAUCAGCAAGGACUCACUGCAGAUCUGGAGAAGUUAAUAAACAUUUAAUGAACACACUUCUGAUUUUUUAUUCCAGUUUAUGAGCCUUCUGUGGUCCUUUAAGCCUUUUGGCUCAGCCCUUGGCUGCUGUGCAGACUUUUCAGUUGCAUGAUCAAAAUUGCACCAGCAUUUCUGUUUCAUGACCAAAAUUUCACAAGAAUUUCUGUUUUGUUCUUAUAUGUCUACUUUUAUAUGUCUUGAUUUUUGAAAUUCAUGCAUGGACUUCUCUGAGAGACAACUGAGGAAUCAGGCCCAGUCAGCAUGGUUUCAAGAAAGGCACAUCCUGCCUGACCAACCUCAUCUCUUUUAAUUUUCCAAAUAGGUAGCAUACAGAUGUUUCCUCACAUCUUAUUUCCCUGAUUAUAUUUCCUUAAAUCUAA